rnacentral:rRNA from 1 species
UACGGGGGGGGCAAGGCGUUGUUCGGAAUUACUGGGCGUAAAGGCUCGUAGGCGGCCAACUAAGUCGGACGUGAAAUCCCUCGGCUUAACCGGGGAACUGCGUCCGAUACUGGAUGGCUUGAGGUUGGGAGAGGGAUGCGGAAUUCCAGGUGUAGCGGUGAAAUGCGCAGAGUAUCAGGAAGAACACCCGUGGCGAAGGCGGUUCUCUGGGACGGUACUGACGCUGAGACGCGAAAGCGUGGGGAGCGAACAGGAUA